CGGUGCUCAAAUUGGGUAUAUGAAUAUACCACAGUGAUCUACUCGACGUCACGGACGUCGACAUAUUUUUAAAAUAAUUUUAUUUUUAUUUUUUAUUUUACUGUAGCACCAUCUUCUUCCUUGGGUCGCCGGACUGGUUUUUCCGGCGGCUGUUUUCCGGGCGGUUUUUCAAAUUGCCAUAACUUUGUCAUUUCUCAACGAAAUCAAGUGAUUCAAAAACGAAAGUUGUAGCCCUUGAAGAGACAAAGAGAAUGGUACCUUACACAACACCUAGUUCGCCGUGGUUUGGCCGGAAACUGCCUCGAAAGCCUCGGAGGUCGCCGGAAACUGGGUAUUUUUCAAAUGAGUAUAACUUCUUCAAUACUCAACGAAAUUGAGUGAAACAAAAAGGAAAGUUGUAGUACUUGACGAGACGAAGAGAUUGAUACCUACCUCGACUCCUAACUCGCCGGUGAUUCGCCGGAAAAUGCCUCGAAAGUUCCGGCCAAACUUUGAACUUGUCGAUCUCCGUGUUCUUACGUCCAAAAACUUCCAACGAAGCACUCCGAGCUUCGUGGGAACCUCCUAGAGCUCCCUAUGAUCUUAGUUUGGCCUAAAAAUCAACAAAUACAAAGUUCAUGAAUAGUGUCAUUUCACGGGCUUGAGUUUUCUACGUGAAAUCGUGGGAAACCUUACCUGAAAACAAUACCAAUGUGUUCGUAUGGUCCUCACGAACAUGAUGGUACCUUCCUCAUCCUGAAACUGUGAAGUUUUCGAGAGCCUUGGUGUUUGUCCGAGAGUUUGAGAGAGAAUGAGGGAGUGUGAGAGUGACUGAGGGAGAGAUGAGGAAGAGAGAGAGAAGGAGACAACAAAACGGGAAAUGGGGAAGGAUUUCAGAAGGUAGGACCCUACAUAAAGUCCAAAUACAAAAUAUUAACACAUACAAUAAUAAAUCUAACCCUAGUUUAGGAUGUUUUUAGGUAAAACAAAUACCAAAUUUACGCACCUUAAUCUCGUUUAAGGGCGUUUCUGUAAUUUCACGUCCUCGGAGUUUAUAAUUCCGGGACGGGCUGUGACAAUCUCCCCUCCUUAUAGAAUUUCGUCCCCGAAAUUCUAGCCACCAACCAACCCAUCAAAACUCAUAAAAUAGCCUCGGAUACAUACCUCUCAUCCGUUCUUCCGUCUCCCAAGUAGUUUCUUCCGCUGAAUGGUUCAUCCACAAUACUUUUACCACUUACUCUGUCUUAAUUCUCAGGACCUUCUUUUUCCAAUCCAAAGUCAUCCUUGGUUCCUUAUCAAGUCGAAUCCAAUUUAAUUCUCAAUAGUUGCACCAGAAUUCCAUGAGACGACUCUGCCACCUAGUGACAACGCAUCGAACACAAAAUACAUUAUGUGCCUUAGCCAAUUCUGAAGGCAUCACAAACUUGUAUGCAACUUCAUCGAUUCUUUUAAUGAUCAAAACGGUCUGAUGUGUUUAAAUCUUAUCUUGUCUACUUUCCAAAUCUUACUAUUUCUUUUCAUGAAGAAAUUUCCAAAAAUAUAAAAUCAUCUACGUUAUACACUCGAUUAGUGGCAUACCCAUCUGUUAAUCUCUUUUGUCAUUCCUGGCUACUUUCAGGUUAACUUACUCACCUGAAUAUUUUGAGGAGACUCAUCCAUAGUCUCAGGGCCCGCAAGAACUCUUUUGUCAACUUCUGUCCAACACAAAGGUGUACUAUAAGGUAAUUUGGUAACCAAGCUUCUUGUACGCUAUCCAAAACUUAGAAGUAACCAACAUACCCAAAAACUUAACAUUGUAUAUCGUCAAAAUUGCUUUCUUUAAUUCCACAUAAUUUGGCACAUACGUCCCAUUCUCUUGCAUAAACAUACCAUCCAAUUCUGCCUCGGUUAAUUCUUGAAUUCCUUCGUCAAGCAUUUGAGUCUUGAGUACGACCUUACCAAAUAGGCCUAACUUGAAAUUUAACAAGUAUAACUUCUUCUCGAUCUUCCAUUCUUAAUUUUUCUUCCGUUGGUUUUCAAUCCACAAGAUGAUACUCUUGGCAAACGUGCCAGACAUUAAUCUUACUGUAGUCUUCUCACCAAAUGCUUCAGCUAGAACAAACUUUACGAUCACCCUGAUCGUACAAUCAUGUUCAUUAAGCAAUACAAUUCACCUUUGCUGCCUCAUAUCAAAAUCCUUCCGAGUAAACAAAUAUUGGAGACUCUUUUGAUUUGUAAAAUCUUGCAUUCUUAUCAACAUAUAAUGUCUCCAUAACUUCACAGCAAGGAUGAUAAUCGUGACUUCCAAAUCACCAGUAGGGUAAUUCAUCUCAUGAGAUUCCAUUUGUCGUGAAACGUAUGCAAUCACCCUAACAUUUGCAUCAACAUGCAUCCAAUACCAUUCAAGAAACAUCACUAAAAAUUUAUGAUUACCACUAUUCUCUGGGAUUACUAAAAUACGUGCAUGAGUGAGGAAAUACUUCAGUUGUUGAAUCAUUUGCUCACAAUUUCCUUCCCACUCAUACAUAACCUCUUUUCUCAACCGUCUCGUCAAUGACAAAGCAAUGACUGAAAAAUCUUUCACAACCAUUCAAGAUAGCCUGGUAAGCUAAGAAAUUCCGAAUCUCAAUUACAGUUCGUGGUUGUUCCAAUUCCUCAAUUUCUGCUAUCUUUUAAGGAUUCACUUGAAUACCUUAAGCAGACAUAACAAAUUUUAGAAUGCCACUUGAUCCAUUUAACUUUAGCUUUUGCUAAACUUAGCAUACAACCAACGUUCUCUCAAUCUUUGCUUCACCGACUUAAUACGUUUACAUGCUCUGCUCUGGCUCAGAAUAUGCCAGAAUAUCUUCAAUGAAAAUGAUAUCUAUUUAUCAAGGCAUUAUUGGAAUACAUCAUUCAUCAACUCAUAAAACAGCAUGAGUAUCCAUAUAGCAUCACCAAACUUCAUAAAGACUAUAACGAGUCCAGAAAAACAAUCUUAGGAACAACGUUACUCAUAAUCUUCAAUUGGUAGUAACCAGAUCUCAAUUCAAUCUUUGAAUCUUCGCAAUUACUUAUGAGCUGGUUAAAUAAACAUUAGUACAUCACCAUGGAUAACGGUUCUCAAUCGUUACCCGACUCCAUUGUCUAUAAUCAAUGAACAGUCUCAAGAUCCAUUUUCUUCCUCACCAACAAACUGGGGCUCCUCAAAAGUGUUAUACUAGGUUGAAUAAAACUUUUAUCAACCAAUUCUCUCAACUGAAUUUCCAAUUCCCUUAACUCAUCAUGAACAAAUCUUUAACAUAAAUUUAUACCUGGCAACAAAUCAAUAAUGAACCUCAUAUCUCUGCCUGAAGACAAUCCAGGUAUACUUUCAGGGAAGACAUCAAGAAAAGUCUAACCCUUUCGACAUUAUUCACACUACUCCAAACAACAUCAUUUAGCACCACAUGAGCUAAUAUUUUUGACAGCCUUUCGAAAACAAUCUCUUUGCUCUCACAGCAUAAAUAACGGCCUGACUCAAUCCACUUUGCAUACUAACAAAAGUAAUCUCUGGUCAUCCAGAUCGAUGGAAAGUAACUGGUUUCCCGUAACAUUCCAUCUAGUCACAACUAUAAACAAUCACUCUAAUGGAAUAAAAUUAAUUGACCCAAUACAUACUUUAUUAUUACUGAACAUUCUAAGUAAGUACAACACUAACAUAAAAUAACCUACCGGUUUGCUUGCUUAACGAAUCCACGAAUGAGUUAUUAAUAUUACGGUCUGCAGCCCGCAAUACUGAUAAAUCAUCGUUGUCUCGAUAAGUAGGCAACCACUCUCAAAGAUAUAACAAUACUAUUUUGUCACUCAAUGCAAAAUACAUACACUCGUCUCAACUACAUUUAUUUACCACUCUCUAGGUAAUAUCAUACAUAAUAAGAAAUAUAUCAGCCGAAGUCAACUAGAAUGACCAAUACGGUUGAUUCAACUCUUAUCUCAAUAAUACGUCGGCCGGAUCCACUCCGCGUGGUCGGUACGGCCGAGCCUAUAACUCACCAAUUUCUCAUGUGUCAAUGAAUCCACUUCUCAUGGUCUGUACGGCUGAACAUAUAACUCAUCAAAUCUCUCUGUACUCACGGUCAAUCCGACCAAACUACUAAGUCCAUAACUCUGCUGAAUCGACACUAUGAUAUCAUGGAAAAUUGUUGAGUACAACUGAUUCUAGGGACGAUUCACAAUUAUGUGUCCCAUCUGUUCACAUAAACACAUUCAUUAAUUUCACAUUUCCCAAAGUGUUAAUUUUGUACCUGCUGCACAAGGUACAUUUCCUUUACUCGAGACACCUUGUCUCAAAUAUCUGGGAUUACCAGUAUAUCCAUCACUUUUAUUCUAACCAGCGACAUUAAAACCUCAGCUGGAAGAAUUAACUCUAGCUUCACUUCUUUCGAAGCUCUGAAUCUUUCUAUAUCCUUGAUAUGACGAAUCAUUAACUUUAUCGUCUUCUUUUAAUUCCCAUUCAUUUCUUAUUCUUCUUUAUUCUCGUUGCUCAUGUUCUCAGAGUCCUCAAGACUCAACAGCAUCUCGUAUAUUCCUGGUAAGAAGUAUAAUGGAUAAUGGUCACCCAAAAUACCACUUCCCUUUUGCCACCCAGCUUAAAACAACAUAACACCUCAACCAAAUUAACAACAAUAUCUGGAUAGAACGAGGCAAGUCUGAAAACUUUCUAUAAUAUCCCUCGAUCAUCACCUUCCUUGAUUCACAUUUGCAAACUCUUGCUUACUACCAUCGAUAAAUGCCGGAGGGAUAAACUUUUCCUUAAACAAGUCCUUAAACAAUUUUAAAUCGGCUGUUCCUCCGGUGACAACAAAUCAUACUCCUGUUUCCACCAGGAUACAAAUUCAUACCCAAAACCAGGUAGUCGUCUCGACCCCCUGUCAGAAGGAAGAUUCCUUUGACUUGCAUAAUCUGAAACAUCUUUUCCAAAUGGUUAAACCGUUACUUCGCUCCCUCAGGUUCAUCAUUUCAUAAGGUGAUUCAAAUUCAACUCAUAACCCAUCUUAAAUGUCCCUUUUUAUAAUAGACUGAAUCACCCUAAUAAUAGUUUUCCCUAAACCGCUAUAUUAGGGAGACUAAAUUCCUCUAACUACGUGGUUUGCUACGAGGCGGUGUAGUUCUGACAGAAUUCACUAUAAACUUCUCAAGAUGUCCAAGAUUGCAACCAUGCUCUGAUACCAACUGACACACCCCGUCCCGAAGGAGGGCAUGCUGGCCGUCACGUGAGAGUGACGUAACCAUUUGCACAGUACGGAAGCUUUAAUUAUACAAUUUAUAAGUUGAUACACCCGAAGGUGAGUCCUAAUUUUGUCCAAUCUGUCAGAACACCGUCGAAUUCCUCGUAGUCACCACACCUUUGUGAUUCCUGAACCUGGAGGGGCGCAAAACCAAAAUUGAGUGGGUCAGUAAAACAAUUCUUUUCCAAAUCCAAACAUUUUUCAAAACGUUGUAACCCCUCUCCGUAAAACCUGUAUAUUUUCCCAGAAAUGUAAAAUAUAAAUAUACAUAUAUAUUCUCAAGACUUCAAGUCGUUAACUCAACAUUUUCAUAACAAUUAUGCCAUGCCACAUCAUCUCAACAUUUCUCAUAUUAAUUAUGCCAUGCCACAUCAUCUCAACAGUAAUAAGGUAUGAAUGCAUCAACAUAAUCAUAUCAGGUGCAAGAAAGUAAUCAACCGUAGGCCCUCUAAUAGCCCUGUACGGUUGAACCUAGAGCUCAAAAUCUAUCAUUAUCACUCUACCGGAGUCACCUCUGUGACCCGUCCGGCCUUCUGCACACAAGUUACGCUCUAGUGCUUCUCAUAAAUCAUCUGUGCACAUAAUCUAAGGUCACCCACCAGUCGGAAUCUCACUAACACUCUCGCGACUGGUCUGUCGUACCCACUCCGCGUGGACUGUACGACUAGCAUCUACUUGGAUCCAAGGCGAGCGUGCGAUGCGGUGAAUACUAUAAGCACUAAACCAUGGUGCAGGAUUUGAGCUCAAUAUAUAUCAUCAUCAUCAUAACAGUAAUUAAAUACUCAUUUGUGCGUCCACCGCACCAUUUCAUACAUAUGCAUCAUAAAUCAAUUCUUACCUGUGCGUCCACCGCACCAAUUCAUACAUAUGCAUCAUAUAUUAAUUCAUGCAUGGCAUUUCAACUCACAUUUCUAUAUACUUUUCAUAUCAAUUCUAUGCAUGGUAUUUCACUUCCCGUUUUUCCACAUAACUCAUAUGCAUUUCAUUUUAAACAUAUUUUCAUUUCAAUUCAAUUUCUGGGAAACGUCAAGUAUAUAUAUAUACGGAAAACAAAACUGCCCACUCACCUGGAGUUCGCCCUACAACUCCCUAGCACAAUACGCCAAGGCGUCAUGACGAUCGCCGCCUAGAAUAGUAAUCAAAUCCAGGCUCAGAAUUCAUAUCGAUAGAAUACAUAACUUAUAUAAAAUACGUCACUACGUUGAUCGAUCCGGAAGAUCUGCCACUCAGAUUUUAAAUCCAUAACUUCCAGAGGUCCACAUUAUACCUCUAGGACAACAUCCUAAAAUUUCAUUACCAUCCAACGGUCGGAUCUCCGUCAAUUUCCAAAACUAAGUGACGGUUAACAUUUUAUAUUAUGGACUUACAAUUCCAAUUCCGGAAGAUCCCUAACUCGGAUUCCCAAUCCGUAAGUUCCAAUAAUCCUCAAAUAUUACGUAUUACAACGUAUCAAAUUUUGGUGACGAUCCAACGGUCGGAUCAUCAAUUCACAUUUUCACCAAAACUAUAAAACGUUAUUCGAACACCUAACCAACAAUCCUUAAUAACUUUCUCAUACGGUGCUCAAAUUGGGUAUAUGAAUAUACCACAGUGAUCUACUCGACGUCACGGACGUCGACAUAUUUUUAAAAUAAUUUUAUUUUUAUUUUUUAUUUUACUGUAGCACCAUCUUCUUCCUUGGGUCGCCGGACUGGUUUUUCCGGCGGCUGUUUUCCGGGCGGUUUUUCAAAUUGCCAUAACUUUGUCAUUUCUCAACGAAAUCAAGUGAUUCAAAAACGAAAGUUGUAGCCCUUGAAGAGACAAAGAGAAUGGUACCUUACACAACACCUAGUUCGCCGUGGUUUGGCCGGAAACUGCCUCGAAAGCCUCGGAGGUCGCCGGAAACUGGGUAUUUUUCAAAUGAGUAUAACUUCUUCAAUACUCAACGAAAUUGAGUGAAACAAAAAGGAAAGUUAGUACUUGACGAGACGAAGAGAUUGAUACCUACCUCGACUCCUAACUCGCCGGUGAUUCGCCGGAAAAUGCCUCGAAAGUUCCGGCCAAACUUUGAACUUGUCGAUCUCCGUGUUCUUACGUCCAAAAACUUCCAACGAAGCACUCCGAGCUUCGUGGGAACCUCCUAGAGCUCCCUAUGAUCUUAGUUUGGCCUAAAAAUCAACAAAUACAAAGUUCAUGAAUAGUGUCAUUUCACGGGCUUGAGUUUUCUACGUGAAAUCGUGGGAAACCUUACCUGAAAACAAUACCAAUGUGUUCGUAUGGUCCUCACGAACAUGAUGGUACCUUCCUCAUCCUGAAACUGUGAAGUUUUCGAGAGCCUUGGUGUUUGUCCGAGAGUUUGAGAGAGAAUGAGGGAGUGUGAGAGUGACUGAGGGAGAGAUGAGGAAGAGAGAGAGAAGGAGACAACAAAACGGGAAAUGGGGAAGGAUUUCAGAAGGUAGGACCCUACAUAAAGUCCAAAUACAAAAUAUUAACACAUACAAUAAUAAAUCUAACCCUAGUUUAGGAUGUUUUUAGGUAAAACAAAUACCAAAUUUACGCACCUUAAUCUCGUUUAAGGGCGUUUCUGUAAUUUCACG
rnacentral:lncRNA from 1 species